UGAGAUGCGAAAGCUAGUCCGGGAGCGGCGAUGGUGGAGGGGGCGAGAGCAAGCCCUUGGCUCGGAAGACGAGAGAGAGAGAGACCGAGAGAGAGUUCAGGCUUUUGCCGAGAAUAAUCUCGCGGGGAGAGGCGAAUUGUAGUGGGAGCGAUGUGGGAAGGAGGGACGGUGUAGGGUUGUGUGAGGAACCAGGAGGCCUUUGGUGUUGAAUCUGGUGUGGAUGGAGUCGAAGGAGGACUGGCGCCUCGGGCGUUUUGUGUGGAUCGUGACGGUUGUUUUGCUGCUGCUGCUGCUGGCGGCGCGUCCCUGUGAUGGGCGAGGGAACAGGGACAUCAUGCACGAUGAUGCGGAUACGCCGAAGCAGCCUGGAUGCGAGAAUAGUUUCGUCCUGGUUAAAGUACGAACUUGGAUGGAUGGCGUUGAAACGACUGAACUAGUUGGCGUGAGUGCGCGUUUUGGAGAAUCAAUAUCAAACCGUGCUCAGGAAAUCAAUGCCCUCCCUUUGGCAGUGCCAAGUCCUGCGACCUUGUGCAACAUGUCCUCUUUACUGCUCACGGGUCGUGCCGCCUUGGUGCGGCGUGGAGAUUGUACUUUUACCAAGAAGGCUCGAAUGGCACAGGCAGCAGGUGCUAAGGCUCUCAUCGUGAUUAAUGAUAAAGAAGAGUUGUACAAGAUGGUGUGUGAUGACAACGGCACCUUCCUGGACAUCCAAAUUCCGUCAGUCAUGCUGCCCCAGUCAGCUGGAGACACCUUAGAGGCUGGUUUGCUUCGUGAUGAAUCAGUUAAGAUCUUGAUGUACUCUCCAAAGCGGCCUGUAGUUGAUAUAUCAGAAAUAUUUUUGUGGCUUAUGGCCGUUGGCACAGUCCUUGGUGCCUCUUUCUGGUCAGCCUGGACCGCCAAAGAAGCAGCCCAGGAGCACUAUAGGAGUAUGAAGGAUGGAGGAGAUUCUUAUGUUUCUGAUAGCGAGCACGAUACAAUCAAGGAUGUUGUAGACAUUAAUGUUGUAUCUGCAUGCCUGUUCAUGGUUCUUGCAUCAGUAUUUUUGCUCAUACUUUAUUACUUCAUGUCGCACUGGUUCCUUCUUCUAUUGGUCAUCCUUUUCUGUGUUGGCGGUUUUGAGGGUCUGCAAACCUGCAUGGUGUCCCUUCUUUCCAGGUGGUUUCCCAAAGCAGCCGGAACAUAUUUCAGUGUGCCACUUUUGGGAUCAAUGUCAAUUCUCUCGUUGACAGUGGCCCCUUUUGCAUUCCUGUUUGCAUCAUUGUGGGGUGUAUAUCGAAAUCUGAGUUUUGCCUGGAUUGGUCAGGACGCGCUUGGAAUUUCGUUGAUCUUGAGUGUUCUCCAGAUAGUGCGCAUACCUAAUAUUAAGGUUUCUGCGGUACUCCUGGGUGCUGCCUUUAUAUACGACAUAUUUUGGGUGUUUGUGUCACCGCUUAUUUUUGAUGAAAGUGUCAUGAUAGUGGUUGCUCGGGGAGAUAAGAGCAAUGGAGAGGGUAUUCCUAUGCUUCUGAAAGUCCCCCGGUUGUAUGACCCAUGGGGUGGCUACAGCAUCAUCGGCUUUGGAGAUAUUCUGCUUCCAGGACUUUUAGUGUCCUUCUGCUUACGGUAUGAUUGGGUGUCGAAGAAGAGUCUUUUCAACGGGUACUUUUUGUGGACAUCAGUGGGUUAUGGCUUAGGGCUGUUCUGGACUUACGUAGCCCUCAAUUUGAUGGUUGGGAAUGGCCAGCCUGCAUUGCUGUAUAUAGUUCCGUGCACUCUAGGAACUGUGCUAUUUCUCGGUUGGUGGCGAGGAGAAUUAAGAUCUUUGUGGACGAAAGGAGAACAAGUUUCACAACUGGAGAAUUAUGUGAAUUCUUCACGCAUUCACAAUCAUCCACAUAAAUGACUAGUAGGUCUUAAGUUCAAUGUAGUGAAAUAGGAUUUGAGUAGAUUUUAGAGUAUUUGGGGUGCCCUUUUAUUUAGUCACGUUGUAAACCAGUACAGCCCUAAUUUCAUGCUUGCGGAGUCGUCAAACGCUCGAUCUCCCCAAAAUCCCUGGUAGCUGUUAAGGUUGCUAAAAACCAUUUCGAUGCUGAGUUUGGUGAGAGCCCUUUUCGAGUACGAAAGUGGGUUGAGUGGCUUCUCCGGUUGUCCAACGCAACACACUACUUACUGCAAAAAUGUAUAGUUUCUUUAUUUAGAAUUUAAUCAAUGAGAAUUCUCAAGUUCUUUGGAA